rnacentral:lncRNA from 1 species
GCAUGAUCAACCCAAACUCUUUCCCACUAGCGUACGACUCCUAUUAGGUCACUCAUAAUCCUUAUCCUCUCCCCUAUAGCCACAAUUAACAAGGGACAUGGUUCUCCUGUUUCAAUCGGAGUCAUCUUCUCCUCCCCUACAUCUCUUCUGCUUCUUCUUCUUUUUCAUCAGUUUCGGUGAAGUCGGCAAGGGUUGCCGACUUCAAGAUGAACCAAGUCC